AUGAACGCUGGCGGCGUGCUUAACACAUGCAAGUCGAACGGAAAGGCCCAAGCUUGCUUGGGUACUCGAGUGGCGAACGGGUGAGUAACACGUGGGUGAUCUGCCCCGCACUUCGGGAUAAGCCUGGGAAACUGGGUCUAAUACCGGAUAGGACCACUUCUUGGAGGUUGUGGUGGAAAGUUUUUUCGGUGUGGGAUGAGCUCGCGGCCUAUCAGCUUGUUGGUGGGGUAAUGGCCUACCAAGGCGUCGACGGGUAGCCGGCCUGAGAGGGUGUACGGCCACAUUGGGACUGAGAUACGGCCCAGACUCCUACGGGAGGCAGCAGUGGGGAAUAUUGCACAAUGGGCGCAAGCCUGAUGCAGCGACGCCGCGUGGGGGAUGACGGCCUUCGGGUUGUAAACUCCUUUCGCUAGGGACGAAGCGCAAGUGACGGUACCUAGAGAAGAAGCACCGGCUAACUACGUG
rnacentral:rRNA from 1 species